AACCGACUAAUGUUGAAAAAUUAGCGGAUGACCUGUGGCUGGGGGUGAAAGGCCAAUCAAACCGGGAGAUAGCUGGUUCUCCCCGAAAGCUAUUUAGGUAGCGCCUCGUGAAUUCAUCUCCGGGGGUAGAGCACUGUUUCGGCUAGGGGGCCAUCCCGGCUUACCAACCCGAUGCAAACUGCGAAUACCGGAGAAUGUUAUCACGGGAGACACACGGCGGGUGCUAACGUCCGUCGUGAAGAGGGAAACAACCCAGACCGCCAGCUAAGGUCCCAAAGUCAUGGUUAAGUGGGAAACGAUGUGGGAAGGCCCAGACAGCCAGGAUGUUGGCUUAGAAGCAGCCAUCAUUUAAAGAAAGCGUAAUAGCUCACUGGUCGAGUCGGCCUGCGCGGAAGAUGUAACGGGGCUAAACCAUGCACCGAAGCUGCGGCAGCGAACGUAUCACCCAAGACAACUUUACGGAGUUGACGAUUGACGGAGCGAAGCGACGUCAAAGCGUUCAUUAAAGUCGAGUUGGCUUAGGGAUACGUUCGUUGGGUAGGGGAGCGUUCUGUAAGCCUGUGAAGGUGUGUCGUGAGGC
rnacentral:rRNA from 1 species